AUGCGUGCAGGCAUAGAGGAGGUCUUUCCGUUGGCAGUGCACAGGCACUGUAGGUGGCACAUUAUAAAGAAGGCUGAGGAGACGCUAGGACCGUUCUUUGCUGACCGUCCAGAGCUGCACAAGGCAUUCGAACUGUGCGUGGACCACAGCUUGACGGUGGAGGAGUUUGAAAGGAGCUGGAUGGCCAUGACUGAAACACAUCAAGUCCAAGACAACGAGACUCUUGUAAGCCUGUGGGAGAAGCGAAUGUACUGGGUGCCGGCCUACUUCAUGCAGUGCUUCUUCCCCUUUCUGCAGACUACGCAGCGCAGCGAGGGAUUCAAUGCUGUUUUGAAGCGGUACGUCAGUCCUGGCAACUCAUUGCUAUAGUUUGCCAAACAGUACACAGCUUUGCAACAAAAAAUUCUGGGAUCUGAGUUGCAGCAAGAAGCGAACACCGCGCUAAAGCAACCAAAAUUGCUAAUGUACUUACCGAUGGAGAGGCAAAUGAGCAAGAUAUACACCAACAAGAUCUUUAACAAGUAA
rnacentral:rRNA from 1 species